AAGACGGAAAGAGAUAGAAUGGCGUGCCAAGACCUCUUGCUACUGCAAACAACCUGCAGACAUGUGCCGCUUUGUGCAUCUAUCUUUAUGUGGGUACUGGAGAAUUGAACCCCGGCCAGCAGCCUUUGUGAGCCAGUGCCUUUACCUGCUGAACCACCUCCCCAGCCCGGAACUUCUUUAGAUGCUUCAAUUGGGUUUAUAAGUAAGUGCUACAUGGAAGACCUUCAAAGCACAAGAGGCUGGCACACUGCUAGCUAAGACGUAGCACGUCUCUGCUUGGUGGUCGGCCAUGCCCUCUACCCAGCUCUGUUACCUGCCUCUUGAAAGACAUGAGACCUUCGGAGUGCAAUGGCUAGAGCAGAGGAGCCAGACGACCUAUGAGACAAGAUCUGUGGACCAAAAGGCCAGAUCACAAAGGACCUGGUUGACCAUUGUCAGGCCUUUGGUUUGUCUUGCUUUUGUUUAAUUGGGGAAUCUUUGGAAGGUUUCCUGCAGAGUGGUGAUAUCAUCUGACUUAUGUAAUAAAAGUCUUCCUGUGGCUGCCUGGUUGAGGAUAGGUGGGGAACGUAGACAAGACUGACAAACAGGGAGACUUUUAAAGAUGCCACUAUACACAUUUAUACAAUGGAGUUCUACUCAGCGGUAAAGAAAAAUGAAGCUAUGAAAUUUGCGGAAAAAUGGAUGGAACUGGAAAGGAUUAUACUA